rnacentral:rRNA from 1 species
GAUGAACGCUAGCUACAGGCUUAACACAUGCAAGUCGAGGGGAAACGACAUCGAAAGCUUGCUUUUGAUGGGCGUCGACCGGCGCACGGGUGAGUAACGCGUAUCCAACCUGCCCACCACUUGGGGAUAACCUUGCGAAAGUAAGACUAAUACCCAAUGAUAUCCCACGAAGACAUCUGAAUGGGAUUAAAGAUUUAUCGGUGAUGGAUGGGGAUGCGUCUGAUUAGCUUGUUGGCGGGGUAACGGCCCACCAAGGCAACGAUCAGUAGGGGUUCUGAGAGGAAGGUCCCCCACAUUGGAACUGAGACACGGUCCAAACUCCUACGGGAGGCAGCAGUGAGGAAUAUUGGUCAAUGGGCGAGAGCCUGAACCAGCCAAGUAGCGUGCAGGAAGACGGCCCUAUGGGCUGUAAACUGCUUUUAUAAGGGAAUAAAGUGGGUCACGUGUGACUUUUUGCAUGUACCUUAUGAAUAAGGACCGGCUAAGUCCGUG